rnacentral:tRNA from 1 species
GGAUUGUGGCUCAGAGGUAGAGUGCUUGCCUAGUGCAGAUGAGACACUGGGUUCGAUCCUCAGCACCA